GACGAACGCUGGCGGCGUGCUUAACACAUGCAAGUCGAACGGUAAGGCUCCAGCUUGCUGGGGUACACGAGUGGCGAACGGGUGAGUAACACGUGGGUGACCUGCCCUGCACUUCGGGAUAAGCCUGGGAAACUGGGUCUAAUACCGGAUAGGACCGCACCGUGAGGGUGUGGUGGAAAGUUUUUUCGGUGUGGGAUGGGCCCGCGGCCUAUCAGCUUGUUGGUGGGGUAAUGGCCUACCAAGGCGGCGACGGGUAGCCGGCCUGAGAGGGUGGACGGCCACAUUGGGACUGAGACACGGCCCAGACUCCUACGGGAGGCAGCAGUGGGGAAUAUUGCACAAUGGGCGGAAGCCUGAUGCAGCGACGCCGCGUGGGGGAUGACGGCCUUCGGGUUGUAAACUCCUUUCACCAUCGACGAAGGGUUUCUGACGGUAGAUGGAGAAGAAGCACCGGCUAACUACGUGCCAGCAGCCGCGGUAAUACGUAGGGUGCGAGCGUUGUCCGGAAUUACUGGGCGUAAAGAGCUCGUAGGUGGUUUGUCGCGUCGUCUGUGAAAUUCCGGGGCUUAACUCCGGGCGUGCAGGCGAUACGGGCAUAACUUGAGUACUGUAGGGGAGACUGGAAUUCCUGGUGUAGCGGUGAAAUGCGCAGAUAUCAGGAGGAACACCGGUGGCGAAGGCGGGUCUCUGGGCAGUAACUGACGCUGAGGAGCGAAAGCAUGGGGAGCGAACAGGAUUAGAUACCCUGGUAGUCCAUGCCGUAAACGGUGGGCGCUAGGUGUGGGUUUCCUUCCACGGGAUCCGUGCCGUAGCUAACGCAUUAAGCGCCCCGCCUGGGGAGUACGGCCGCAAGGCUAAAACUCAAAGGAAUUGACGGGGGCCCGCACAAGCGGCGGAGCAUGUGGAUUAAUUCGAUGCAACGCGAAGAACCUUACCUGGGCUUGACAUAUACAGGAUCGCGCCAGAGAUGGUGUUUCCCUUGUGGCUUGUAUACAGGUGGUGCAUGGUUGUCGUCAGCUCGUGUCGUGAGAUGUUGGGUUAAGUCCCGCAACGAGCGCAACCCUUGUCUUAUGUUGCCAGCACGUUGUGGUGGGGACUCGUAAGAAACUGCCGGGGUUAACUCGGAGGAAGGUGGGGAUGACGUCAAAUCAUCAUGCCCCUUAUGUCCAGGGCUUCACACAUGCUACAAUGGUCGGUACAGUGGGUUGCCAGUCCGUGAGGGCGAGCUAAUCCCGCAAAGCCGGUCUCAGUUCGGAUCGGGGUCUGCAACUCGACCCCGUGAAGUCGGAGUCGCUAGUAAUCGCAGAUCAGCAAUGCUGCGGUGAAUACGUUCCCGGGCCU
rnacentral:rRNA from 1 species